rnacentral:rRNA from 1 species
CCUACGGGUGGCAGCAGUGGGGAAUAUUGCACAAUGGGGGAAACCCUGAUGCAGCGACGCCGCGUGAAGGAAGAAGUAUUUCGGUAUGUAAAGUUCUAUCAGCGGGGAAGAAAAUGACGGUACCUGACUAAUUAGCCCCGGCUAACUACGUGCCAGCAGCCGCGGUAAUACGUAGGGGGCAAGCGCUAUCCGGAUUUACUGGGUGUAAAGGGAGCGUAGGCGGUGUAGCAAGUCAGAAGUGACAGCCCGGGGCUCAACUCCGGGACUGCUUUUGAAACUGUGGAACUAGAGUGCAGGAGAGGUAAGUGGAAUUCCUAGUGUAGCGGUGAAAUGCGUAGAUAUUAGGAGGAACACCAGUGGCGAAGGCGGCUUACUGGACUGUAAAUGACGCUGAGGCUCGAAAGCGUGGGGAGCAAACAGGAUUAGAUACCCGAGUAGUC